GCCUUUAGUUAUUUUAAUUUUGAGAUAAAUUCUCACUAAGUUGCUUAGUUGUCCAGCCUGGACUCGAACUGGGGACCUUCCUGCCCCAGCCUCCCAGAAUGCUGGCAUCACGGGCGAGCACCGCCACGCCCAGCUCGGCUGGGUGUUUUGCAGCGUGGUGGCAGGAGACACGCAGCAGACACGCCCAAUGUGGUCACUGAAUGUCGCACGGGUGUUGGCUGAGUUCAUCCGGACAGAUGAGGUGGCCAUGUGCGUGGGACAGGCAGGGGCGGGUUUGCUGCUGAAAUUGGCCAGAGAGGCAGAGGCAGAAGCCAGCUGUGAUACCAAGGACCUGGUGAUCCCGGCCUAGAGUCCCAGGGGUACGUCCCUGCAGAGAGGCCACGGGGAGACACUGGAGGAAAACCCAGAAAUCCGGAGCCUGUCGGAGCUGGAAGGAGAAACACUCAUUCAGGGGUUACGGCGAGCCCAGCAGUGUGCAUGCGUGUCAUUCAGCUUCACCCUUAGGCCAGGGACUCGGAAUUAUUCACUCAGCACCUUCCAUGUGCCGGGUACUGAGUGGGUGCUGGGUAUGAGCUGGUAGACAAAACAAACACUACCCUUGCUUUGGUGGAGUUUAGGGUCUGUGGAUUGAUUCUCAUUUUCCAAAGGCUCAGAGAGGUUAAGUAACUGGCCCUAGGUCACACAGCAGGGAGGAUUUCCAGGGCUCGGGAGCAUGGCCAGUGGCCGAGGACAGCAGGGUGGCUGGCCCAGGCUUGAGGGCAGAGGCUCCCUGGUCCAAGGGCCCAGGGCCGGAGAGCUUGGCCGCCAUUGGACAGAAGAGCGCAUCUCAAAGAUGCAUCUUGAGCCUAGGGCUGAGGUGUUGGGGGAUGAGCAGGGCUGGGGACCAGCUUGAGUGCCUCCUCUUCAUAGCAAUAAUUUUUUCUCGGCUCUCAUCUGGGGGACCCAUGGACACUGUACUAAGUUCUCACUAAGUUGCUUAGUUGUCCAGACUGGGCUACUUGGGAUUCUCCUGCCUCAGCCUCCUGUUUCUAGUGCAUCCUCCAGGUGAGGAGACUGGAACUGAGCAUCUUGGACCUGCGUUUGUGGCUCCAGCCGAGUGCAGAUUCGCGUCCCCUGGGAGCUUCAAGCCCUGGCUGCGUGCAGACAACGACAGGGACUCCUGGGGCAGAGCCUGGCAGCCUUCCCAAGACCCCUCGCGUGACCCCAGGUCGCAGGGUCCCGCCGGUGUCUCGCGCAGCUGUCGGAAAUGUGGGAUCUCUGGACCACCCUAGCCUGUGAGUCAGGGUCUCCGGGCCCUGCGGGGGACCCUGGUUUGCAAACAUUGGGUGCCACCCGGAAGUAGAGGCCCAGCUGGUCCCCGCCAGGAUCUCCUAGGUGGCUGGAAAUAACCAGAGCAACAAGACAUCCAUUUAGGGACACUUUUUUGAAAAAAUUAGCAAAAGUCCUACUCUGAUUUAUUAAUUACCAAAGUUAGAUACUGCAAGUUGGGUUAUUCUUCCUUUUCUGGUAUGAAAUUUCCUCACCUGGAUUUCGGAGAUGUCAGAUGUCCUCUCGCCUCCCUUGCUCUCUUUGUGGUUUUUUUAGACAGGGUCUGGCUAUGUAGUCCAGGCUGGCCUCAAACUCAUGGAGCUCCUCCUGCCUCAGCCUCCGGAGUGCUGGCAUUGCAGACAUGAGCUACCGAGCCCGGCCCUGCUGCUGUUCUCACUGGUGUUAAAUUUAGCCACGUUGCCCGACUGCUCCCCGCGGGGUGGCCAGCUGGCCGGGGAUUAUGGGUUAUUAAGUCUCAUCCAGCCGAGGCUGGUUGUCCUCACUUAAAAACCUCACAGACGCCUGGCGACACACAGGGAACGGAAGGAAAAAAAAAUGCAGGCACCUUCUGUGUAUCCAUCCGCCAGAAGAUGGCUUCCUGGUGUAGGAAUGUGCGUCUCAGAGCCGUGUUCCUCUCCCGAAAGCAGAGAGGGUUUCCUGGGAAUGACUCUGGACGAAGCUUGGGGAAUUCCGUGUCGCUCCGUCCUUGGGCCUUGCUGACCUUUCGGGCUCUCGGGUUCUUUUCCUGGGUGCUGACGUCCCGGGUCAUGAUCGAAAAUAAACUGAGUUUGCCAUGG
ensembl:lncRNA